UACGAAGGGGGCUAGCGUUGUUCGGAUUUACUGGGCGUACAGCGCACGUAGGCGGAUCGUUAAGUCGGGGGUGAAAUCCUGGAGCUCAACUCCAGAACUGCCUUCGAUACUGGCGAUCUUGAGUCCGGAAGAGGUGAGUGGAACUCCUAGUGUAGAGGUGGAAUUCGUAGAUAUUAGGAAGAACACCAGUGGCGAAGGCGGCUCACUGGUCCGGUACUGGCGCUGAGGUGCGAAAGCGUGGGGAGCAAACAGG
rnacentral:rRNA from 1 species